UACGGAUUACGUUGUUAUUGCUUAAGAAUACGCGUAGUCGAGGAGAGUACCAGCGGCAGGCGGGCAGCGGCCGCCCCUUCCAGCCCACCAGCUGGCCUCUAAACGCCUGUGGUUGCCAAGAUCCUAGGAUAUGCUACAUAAUAAAAAUAAUAACUUCAACAGAAAGUCAAGAUGUCACUGAAUUUUGCGAGAGAGACACAAGAAUAAUACAUCAAACAGAAGAAGUAUAUGAGAACAAUUUUGCUGGGUAUAUAUUUACUUCAAUUCAACCAUUUGGAGAAAUAAUGAAAAUUCUGAUGAGUUUUAAAACUCAUAAUACAAAUAUGCAUUGAUCUAUCACCACAGGGGCAUGUGAUGUAAUUGUGGCCAAUGAGACACAAGCCAACAUCUUCUAGAUUUUUUCCACUCUUCAGACAAAAGGAAGAGAUGUCUUUCAUCCAACCUUUGAACAGUCUUACGAGAAGCUGUUUGAAGCUGCUGUAGCCAUCUUGUAAGGCUGGAGAGAAUAUCAGACAUUCUAAGGAAGACAGAGAAGACAGUCUUGGAACCAACCCUGUACCACCCUACUUUUAUUUAAAGUUCUUGAUAUGUGACAUAAUAAAAUUUCCUUAUUGUUUAAACCACUUUUAGUUGGG